rnacentral:rRNA from 1 species
CCUACGGGGUGCACCAGUGGGGAAUAUUGCACAAUGGGCGCAAGCCUGAUGCAGCCAUGCCGCGUGUUUGAAGAAGGCCUUCGGGUUGUAAAGUACUUUCAGCAGUGAGGAAGGUGGGUAUGUUAAUAGCAUAUUCAUUUGACGUUAGCUGCAGAAGAAGCACCGGCUAACUCCGUGCCAGCAGCCGCGGUAAUACGGAGGGUGCGAGCGUUAAUCGGAAUUACUGGGCGUAAAGCGCAUGCAGGUGGUUUGUUAAGUCAGAUGUGAAAGCCCGGGGCUCAACCUCGGAAUUGCAUUUGAAACUGGUAAACUAGAGUACUGUAGAGGGGGGUAGAAUUUCAGGUGUAGCGGUGAAAUGCGUAGAGAUCUGAAGGAAUACCGGUGGCGAAGGCGGCCCCCUGGACAGAUACUGACACUCAGAUGCGAAAGCGUGGGGAGCAAGCAGGAUUAGAUACCCGUGUAGUC